CGUAGGGGGCAAGCGUUGUCCGGAUUUAUUGGGCGUAAAGCGCUCGCAGGUGGUUCAUUGCGUCGUGCGUGAAAGACCCCGGCUCAACUGGGGAGGGUCGUGCGAAACGGGUGAACUAGAGGCCAGUAGGGGGAUGCGGAAUUCCGGGUGUAGUGGUGGAAUGCGUAGAGAUCCGGAGGAACACCAGCGGCGAAGGCGGCAUCCUGGACUGGUCCUGACACUCAGGAGCGAAAGCGUGGGGAGCGAUCCGGAUU
rnacentral:rRNA from 1 species